rfam:Triticum aestivum genome assembly, contig: Triticum_aestivum_CS42_TGACv1_scaffold_542692_6DS
UCCAAUGAUGAUAUGCCCAACAUUUGGAGGUGCAGAUGGCUCCAGGAUCCUGUUUACAGGAUGAACCUACCUGGAGGCGCUGUAUCCACAUGACAUCGAUGGGUAAGUCUGAGGU